rnacentral:misc_RNA from 1 species
GAUGAAGAACGUAGCGAAAUGCGAUAAGUAAUGUGAAUUGCAGAAUUCAGUGAAUCAUCGAAUCUUUGAACGCACCUUGCACCCUUUGGCAUUCCGAAGGGUAUGCUCGUUUGAGUGUCAUUGUACUCUCACUCUCCCGAUGCUUUUGGAUCGGGAGUGGUGGACUUGGGUGUUGCUGCUUUGCUGUGGCUCGCCUCAAAUGGAGUAGUGCAACUCUUGGUUGGACAUAGUACGGCGUGAUAAGUGUCUUCGCCGGCGCCUCAUUAUAGAGGGUGGCCGAUCGGGAGCUCUGUGCUUCAAACCGUCUUCGGACAACAUCUGACAACUUGACCUCAAAUCGAGUAGGACUACCCGCUGAACUUAAGCAUAUCAAUAGCGGAGGA